rnacentral:lncRNA from 1 species
CUGGCUCCAAGGAGAUUUCACAGCAAUGCCUCCAGACUUCAUAACACGGACAUCUGGGAUAUUUAACUGCUCCCUUAAUGGCCCAGGCCCCUCUCUGUAACAGAAGAAGACUAUGGGAUGGCAUUUUGGAGAAUGGUCUCUAGGAUACAUGGAUCCUGGAUAUUGCAACUUAACUAUAGAUUUAUGGCCCCCAGCUUACCAAGAGUUUGUACCAUUGCCUAAGCCUACAGCACUGUGGGGAAACUGGAAAACCAUUGACUCAAUCACAGACAAAUGGGCCAACUCCAUUCUGGCCUUACAGACCUACAGAUAUCACCAGAUUCCUUCUACCGCCUCCAACCCCUAAUCGAUGUCUCCAUUCAGCAGGAAGAAGCUACAGAAGAAGGGACCUUUGUCCCUCUUUCCUGUUAAAAUCAGGGAGGAAUCUUAGGUGGGAACUAAAGGGAAGGUCUAAAAAAUAAGUCGCCAUGAUUCAUUGACCCACCCAGACCCAGACUUGCAGUCUCCAUGUUAUUGCACCUCUGCAGGUGAAAACCACCAAGCCUAUGAAGUGGUUGAUUUUCCAAGGACAAAGACAGCCCCAAGGAGAAAGCUAAAUUUUAUAUCAUGAUCUCAACUGCCAUCCUGGACCUAGAGAACUCAGCACAUGACUGCCUGCCUAUAAAACCUGAUUCUCUCCCAAUGACAGGGGGCCUGAGUUUUACUUUUUCAGUGCUCCCUGCCACCCUGUUGGUCAAUAAACCAUGCUUGCGAUCUCA